AGAGUUUGAUCAUGGCUCAGAUUGAACGCUGGCGGCAUGCCUUACACAUGCAAGUCGAACGGUAACAGGUCUUCGGACGCUGACGAGUGGCGAACGGGUGAGUAAUACAUCGGAACGUGCCCAGUCGUGGGGGAUAACUACUCGAAAGAGUAGCUAAUACCGCAUACGAUCUGAGGAUGAAAGCGGGGGACCUUCGGGCCUCGCGCGAUUGGAGCGGCCGAUGGCAGAUUAGGUAGUUGGUGGGAUAAAAGCUUACCAAGCCGACGAUCUGUAGCUGGUCUGAGAGGACGACCAGCCACACUGGGACUGAGACACGGCCCAGACUCCUACGGGAGGCAGCAGUGGGGAAUUUUGGACAAUGGGCGAAAGCCUGAUCCAGCAAUGCCGCGUGCAGGAUGAAGGCCUUCGGGUUGUAAACUGCUUUUGUACGGAACGAAAAAGCUCCUUCUAAUACAGGGGGCCCAUGACGGUACCGUAAGAAUAAGCACCGGCUAACUACGUGCCAGCAGCCGCGGUAAUACGUAGGGUGCGAGCGUUAAUCGGAAUUACUGGGCGUAAAGCGUGCGCAGGCGGUUAUGUAAGACAGAUGUGAAAUCCCCGGGCUCAACCUGGGAACUGCAUUUGUGACUGCAUGGCUAGAGUACGGUAGAGGGGGAUGGAAUUCCGCGUGUANCAGUGAAAUGCGUAGAUAUGCGGGAGGAACACCGAUGGGCGAAGGCAAUCCCCUGGACCUGUACUGACGCUCAUGCACGAAAGCGUGGGGAGCAAACAGGGAUUAGAUACCCUGGUAGUCCACGCCCUAAANCGAUGUCACUGG
rnacentral:rRNA from 1 species